AUGAUCUUUGGAGAUUUUAAUGAGAUACUAGUUGCUAGCGAGAAGGAGGGUGGAAACAUCAGACCGCAACAAUAUAUGCAGAAUUUUCGAGACUGUGUGGAUGAUUGUGGUUUACAAGAAAUCAUGUCUAUAGGGGACCCUUUUACUUGGAGUAGAGGUGUGAUCAGAGAAAGGCUGGAUAGAGCCUUAUGCAACGAAAAGUGGGCUGAUAUUUUUCCUUAUGCAGCGGUUAUUCAUGAACACCAUGUGCAUUCAGACCACAUACCAAUACUGCUAGAUACAGAAUAUUAUUCCGCAGUUAUGGGACAGAAGCAAAGAGGUGAAAGAAGGUUUGAAGCAAGAUGGUUGAGUGAAUCUACAGUUGAUGAAAUUGUUAAAAGCGCUUGGGAAAGAACGAAGCUGGCAGGGAUAGGUCCUUCGCUUGCGUCCAGAACAAAGUCAGUUAAGGAUGACAUGUUCAUUUGGGACCGUGAUACACUCAAAGGUCCGAAGAAGAGAAUUAAUAAGUUGAAGAAAGAGCUAGAGAAGUUGAGAAGAUGUACACUGACAGAAGAAGUAAGACAGAAAAUCAAGGAGGCACAAAUCCUAAUAGAAAACCUAUUGGAUCAGGAGGAGCUAGUGUGGCUGCAACGUGGACGAGCCAACUGGCUACUACAUGGUGACAUAAAUACAUCUUAUUUCCACAAAGCAGCUAUAGCCCGUAAGAAAAGGAAUUGUAUCCGAAGAUUGCUUGAUGAUACAGGGGUUUGGAAGGAGGAGUUGGAUGAUAUAAACAGUAUAAUUACGAGUUAUUUCAAAGAGCUUUUUACAUCCUAG
rnacentral:rRNA from 1 species